rnacentral:rRNA from 1 species
AUUGAACGCUGGCGGCAUGCCGUACACAUGCAAGUCGAACGGUAACGGGCCUUCGGGCGCCGACGAGUGGCGAACGGGUGAGUAAUGCAUCGGAACGUACCUUUCAGUGGGGGAUAACGUAGCGAAAGUUACGCUAAUACCGCAUAUUCUGUGAGCAGGAAAGCAGGGGAUCGCAAGACCUUGCGCUGAUUGAGCGGUUGAUGUCAGAUUAGCUAGUUGGUGAGGUAAAGGCUCACCAAGGCGACGAUCUGUAGCGGGUCUGAGAGGAUGAUCCGCCACACUGGAACUGAGACACGGUCCAGACUCCUACGGGAGGCAGCAGUGGGGAAUUUUGGACAAUGGGGGCAACCCUGAUCCAGCCAUGCCGCGUGAGUG